rnacentral:tRNA from 1 species
GCCAGCGUGGCUCAGUGGUUGAGCUUCAACCUAUGAACUGGGUGAUCAUGGUUCGAUUCCAGGUCCGGGCA